rnacentral:lncRNA from 1 species
ACACUUUCAACUCAAAACUUAGAGUAACGAUGCUCUAUAUUGAAUGCCUUCGGUAUUGUACCGUGGCAAUGAUCUAGCAUGGCAAAGACAUCAAUGGAAACAUCAUGCUAGCUAUCUUACGAUCCUGCAAUGGCAAUGUAGACGUGGUGGCACAUGUCAUGGUGGUAGUUGCAUGGCAAUAUAUCUCGGAAUGACUUUGAAAAAGCCAUAGUAGGUAGGUAUAGUGGCUGUUUUGAG